CCUGCUCCCAUGUUCAUUGUCUGCUGUGGGGUUCAAACUUAUUACCUUUUAUAAACCGAAAAAAGCAAUAAAUUUUUAUUAAAAUUAUAAUGCUUACUCAGAACUAGGCAACGGGUUGCGUUGCGGUUUUCCAUUUUGGAGGUGCAGGUGCAUCAUUUCUGGGCACUGGCAAUUAAAUAAUGACUCAAUUCGACAAGCAUGCCUGCUCCUCCUCCUACUCCGAAAUCCUGGGAAGUAUGAUCCAAUAACUUGGUGAAGUACUGAAAGAACGAUAACGUGGUCUCAGAAAAUCAAAUGGACAGUUUCGCUGCUCCCUACUCAUUAUAUUGGUAAGAACUGUCGCCCAUUCCGGGCCACAAGUUGAGCAGUUGGCUUCACAAUGUCUCUGAAAGAGAAAUGAAUUUCUAAGUAGUGGGCCACUGUUUGUCCGUCAUUGGAUCUUGUCUGGCGCCUAGUUCUCAGAGACUAUAAGAGAUAGAGCAGCCAAAUUUAGAAUCCAAAAUUUAGAAUGCGAUAUCAAACUCAUGCUCGUGCCUAUUUCCAAGCCUCAGUGGCGCCUGUAUUGGAACUAGCAUUUUGUUGUCGUGGAAAUAGGUACAUACGCCACCAGCGGGCGGUAGUCAAACACAGUGGCUGCACAGUAGAGCCCUUAAACGGAGGUCAGCGACAUAUGGAUGCAUCAGCGAACAUUUACGAAAAUUGCAACAUUCAUCAGAAACAUCGCUGCGCAACAUGCUUGAAUUUACAUAAUUAACAACAUAGGCGCCACUUCGGAUAUACAUAUUAUGUUAUCGAUUUCUCUUUUCUGUGUAAGCGCGAAGUUCAAAUUCCAACUUUCCGUGUUAAAUUAUGUCUAAUGUCUAAUUAUAAAGUCUCCCUGAGACCAGUGGAGCCAUGAG